UUGAAAGGGAGAGUUACAGAGAAAGAAGGACAGGUAGAGAAAGAAAGAAAUCUUCCAUCCACUGGUUCACUCCCCAAAUAUUUAAUGGCUGGGCCUGGGCCACGCCAAGGCUAGAAAUGUGAAACUCCACUCAGAUGUCAGGGACACAAGCAUCUGGAUCAUCUUCCACUGCUUUCCCAGGCUCAUUAGCAGAAAAUCAAUCAGAAGCCAAGCAGCCGGGACCCAAACUUGUACUCCAAUAAGUGAUGCUGAUGUGAUAGGCAACUACUUAACAUAUUAUGACACAGCAGCAGUCCCAUCAAGUAGAAAUCUCAUGUAUAGUAGGGAUUUUCUUAAAGGCAGGCCUAAGACUUACAAAUCAAGGGUGGUAAGGAAGGUCCUCAUGUACCAAGGAUGAGGGAAUUACUGCUAAAACAAAAUUUUUAAUGUUCUUGGUAAAAGUUGUCUCCUCAGGUCUAGUACAGUGCUCAAAGGACAAGCAUAGUCAAAAGGAAGAUUCAGAACAGCCUUCUUAAGUCUAUUCAAGAAUAGUCUUUAUCAGUCCCUUUAUUUCCACCACUCCUCACCAUCAGUAGUUAUAACUCUUUUAACUUUCCCAGUCUAUGGAGUCCUGGAAGGCAGAGAGAUUUAUACAGGGUCAUAUAACCUAAAAGAGGCAGCCUUAUUGAAACACAUCUCUGUAUCCUUACAUCUGAAUCCUUGUUGAACCGAGGCUGAUCCUGAAGUCUAAAAGUAUGGGUAGUGUUGUGUAAUUGUGUGUUAUUAUGUACAUAACAUGAGGUGCACGAUGAGCAGCCCAGAUGGAAUUUGGGGAGAUCUUUGCUGAAACAGCCUAGGGAAGUAGAUGUCAAGAAGUUAUUUUCUUGAUAGCCUACUACAGAAUAUGCAGCUCUGGCAGUUGAAUGUUGAUGGUGACUGAUUAAACAUUUUUUAGCUAUAAGAACAUUAGAGAAAACCAAGUGGUCUCCUGUUAUAUCCUGACUUCCCUUUGUCCUAGGUUGAAUCUCCAAUGAGCCUGUUUUAUAACUUUGCUGCUGUUGGCUCAAUCUUCACUCUGAAGGCAUUUGGGGAGGUGCAUUAGCAAGGAGCUGGAUUGGAAGUGGAACAGCUAGGACUCAAACCAGGACCCAUAGGGGAUGUUGGCACUGCAGGCAGCAGCUUUACUGGAUACACUACAGCUCCAGCUUCCUGAUGAUCCAUCUUAAUGUCGGUACUUCGUCUGAACUACUCUCUGGAUUCCCAUGUCUAUACCAACAUGACAGUAAAUACUGGAGAAAUUCCCACCUCUGCAUCUUUUGGCCCCACUCUAAAGUCAAGUCUCUAACAUCAUCUGAAUUUUGACUAUAGCCCAACAACUGCCUUGGAAAUCACUUGUGAUGUCAGAUGGAUGGACAAGCAAGCCAACUGGAGUCAUCCUCUAGGAGAAAGGACACUUUACCCAAAUGGCUAUAUUUCAUUCUACAGAAAAAUGCAACCUGAAACAAAGAACUGUCCUUCAGUCCCCUGGUUUAAGCAAAGGGCCCAUGUGCAUUAUUCCAGGUCUGCACCCCUUUUCAUUCUACUCACAUGUGAACUAUCCGUAUAGGGAAGUAGAAUGUGAGCCAGCAGUAACCAUGUCAGUAGAAGUGGUCAGUGUUUGCAUUAUACAACUGAUUUUAAUGACCUCAUAUUCAGUCAUAAAACUUCUGCUCUUAGCAAGGGACACACACGCACACAGCCAUAUUCACCCCUGUAUGAAAACUAUUAUAAACUGCUUAUUUAGGAGUAUCUUUUUGCAUUUAAUUAUAGCAGUUCUCUACUCUUAUAAAAAACCUCCAUAAAAAACUGAAAAAUGAGUCUAUCAGAAACUAUUUUAAAAAUUGAACUCUAAAUUUAAAAAAUAAAAACUAAAAGGUGCCCUAUUUGUGCCUUUGAAUACUUCCUGACCUCUCUUCUGGCUUUCCCCUCCUCCCUCACCCCACAUCCCUUUUCUGCAUCAUUGCCCCAUAUGCCCCUGCAACUCUCUCCCUUUGGAGCAGUCUUGUAGACUGUCAUUCAAUCAUGUGAGGAAUGUUACUUAUUUCAAAAUGAUUCUGUAGGGCAUGCCUGAAUGGCAUCUAAUGGCAAUAAACAGGUCUUCUAACAUCCCUUAACUAUAUUUCUAGCAUAUGUGGAACCAGCAUUGUGGCAUAUUAAGUAAAGCCACUGUGUAUGACACUGGCAUCCCACAUGGGCUGUGGUUCAUGUCCCAGCUACCCUACUUCUUUCUAAUCCAGCUUCCAGGUAACGUAGCAGAGGAUAGCCCAAGUGGUUAUGUCCCUGCUCCUCCAUAGGAGACUUGGAUGAAUCUCUUGGUUCCUGCAUUGACCCAGCCCAGCCAUGGCUGUUGAGACCACUGAGGGAACAAACCAGUAGAUGGAAGAUUCAUUUCUCUCUCUUUCUCUAUCUCUAUCUCUGUGAGUGGUGGGGGUGCAGGUAUCUUUCCCUAUUUCUAACUCUGCCUUUCAAGUAAAUAAAUGAACAUUUAAAAAAAAAAAAAAGAUCCACACUGUGGUGCAGCUAGUUAAAACCAUAGCCUGCAGAGCCACCAUCCCUAACAGGUACCAGUUCAUUUCCUGGUGGCUCCACUUCCCAUCCAGCUCCCUGCUAAUGGUCUGGAAAAGUAGCAGAGGAUAGUCCAACUUCUUGGGCUCCUGCAGCCACAUCAGGCAUCUGGCUUAUGGUUCCUGGCCUCAGUCUAGCACAGCCCAGGCUAUUACAGCUAUUUGGGAAGUGAACCAGCAGAUGGAACAUCAUAGAAUAAAAGAAAAAAUUAAAAUUAAAAAGAAACAAAAACAAAAAAAUUCUUGUCAUUCUGCCUUUCUGAUUUAAAAAAUUAUAAAAUGAAAAACUGAUCAUAAAUAUUAUGACUCAAGUUGACAUAUGAUGGAUCCAAGAAAGCUACUGCUGUCUAGUGCCCCUUAAUGCUUUCCUACAGAAAAAUCAUUUAUCUUGCUUUCCAAGUACUCAAAUAUCAAAAGCACCAAUGCUACCCAGUAUAACUCUGUUUAAGGCUGCUUCAGUAUUGAAGGAAAAGAAAAGGAGCAAGGGGCACAAACCCAGGAUGGUUUCAGGGUGACAGGAUCCUCAUUUUGCACCUUGGUUUCUAA